rnacentral:sRNA from 1 species
GAAUACGUCAGCGUACUGCGAGCAGAGGU